ensembl:lncRNA
UUUUCCUUCUUCUUCUUCUUCUUCUUCUUUUUUUUUUUUUUUUUAAAGCCUGCACUCUCAGCAUUUGGAAGUUCUGAGGUCUAUUUGGAGCUGCAGCUGCUGGCCUAUGCCACUGCCAGAGCAACGUGGGAUCCAAGCCACAUCUGCAACCUAUGCUGCAGCUUGUGGGAUCCAUAACCCACUGAUCAAGGCCAGGGACUGAACUUGCAUCCUUAUGGAUACUAGUCAGGUUCUUAACCAGUUGAGCCACAAAGGGAACUCCAAUUUUCCCCUCUUUUAAAAAAUCUUUUAAUGGGGAGUUCCCGUGGCUUAGUGGUUAAUGAACCCAACUAGGAAUCAUGAGGAUGUGGGUUCGAUCCCUGGCCUCACUCAGUGGGUUAAGGAUCUGGCGUUGCUGUGGCUGUGCUGUAGGCCGAGAGCUUUAGCUCCAAUUCAACCCCUAGCCUAGGAAUCUCUAUAUGCUGUGGGUAUGGCCCUAAAAAGUAAAAAAAAAAAAAAAAAAAAAAUCUUUUAAUGAAUGAGUAAAUUCAGUUCUGCCACCUUCCUUUCCAGGUCCUCUACACAUUCCUAAAGGUAACAUAUAAAAGCGAAAGAAGUUUGGUCUUUUCUGGUGUGCGCCAGUCUAAUUUUUCUCAAACUAAGAUAUUAAUUGUUUUAUUUAAAAUAUAAGACCUUGAUGCUAUUUUAAUUUGCCAAAGUCAACUCAUAAUACCAAUUUCCCCAAAGGUCAGCAACAAUAUAGUAAGGAAAUACCAUCUGCUACUUAGAGCAUCCCUAAGAAAUUUGCAUUUCCACUUUGUACCGUAUUAUGUUGGGGAGGAAAUGACCACCUACUUCAUUCUCCCAACGCACGCUAUCCCAAUCACAGCUAAUCAGCCGACAAAGAGAGAGAAGGCCAGUGUCCAUUGUCCCACUGCUAGGCCCUAGAAAUUAAAAAUCCAGGAGGAGGACGCAAAGAGCAUACGUUGAAAGACGCCAGGUUCAUGGCCAGGUUCACCCAAAGUCUCUCUCACUGCUGCAGUGAAAGCCAGGUUUGCUUGCCAAGCCGCCUGGGUGAGGCUAGUUCUGCACAGGGGUGGGGAUGGGCCCCAGACACAUGUUUUAAUCUUUUGUAAACAGUCUCUGAAGGAAUAAGGUGGUGAUCGGGGCUGUGCCCUUUAACUGGCCUCCAAGACUGAGUGAGAGCACACGGAGAAGGCCUUUCCAAAGUGCAACAGACCUUUUCUAUGGUGCUAUUUACAAACCAAACAAGGUUGAAGAUAGAUUACUUCCUGCCAUCCAGCUCACAGGAAAGAAGCACUUCGCUCAGGUAUAGGAUAUACAUCAAGGAACAAAGGAGCUGCGGACAGCAUCUCAUCUUGUAAGCAUUCAACUCUAUUGAGGUGUCUGAUAUAUUUUAUUCUGAAAAUAGUCCAUGUUUUAUCCGCUUUUCUUGAGUGUGUCAUUUCUCUCUUCUUUCCUCUCAUCCUUUUCCAUCUUUCAUGCUCCUCCUCCCUCCCCAGUUCUUAAUACCAUUUAAGAAAACCUGCUCUUUCCUGCUAUAUACCCCAUGCUUUCAUAGGUAGUAUUUAAAGCAACCUAUAUCUUGACACAUUAGAAAAAGUCAUACAGGAGUUCCCGUCGUGGCGCACGCAGCAGAAACGAAUCCGACUAGGAACCAUGAGGUUGUGGGUUCGAUCCCUGGCCUCGAUCAGUGGGUUAAGGAGCUGUGGUAUAGGUCACAGACGUGGCUCGGAUCCUGCGUUGCUGUGGCUCUGGCGUAGGCCAGUAGCUACAGCUCCGAUUAGACCCCUAGCCUUCAAACCUCCAAGUGCGGCCCUAAAAAAGGACAAAAGACCGAAAAAAAAAAGAAAGAAAAAAAGAAAAAUUCAUUCAAUGGAUUUGUGAUUUUAUCUGGGUAAAGGCAAACUAGUUUAAUCAAUUGUUUUUCUCCACCGAGUUGACUGCUACCCUCUUUAAAGUGCAGACUUAGAGUUCCCUGGUGGCUCAGUGAGUAAGGAUCUGGUGUUGUCACUGCUGUGGCACAGGUUCACAUGCUGUGGCUUGGGAACUUCUACAUGCCACAGGCUUGGUCAAAUAAAAUAAAAUAAAAUAUAGAGUUAUUUGCAGUUGAAUUUAGUUUAAAACUGAGUAGAAAUGGGCAUUCUUUGAAGUCCUUGAUGUAAGGUACCUGGAGUUAUCUUUCUGUGCAAAUUAGCUACUUGAAUAUGCAUAUCUUGAGAAAAGAUCAAGUGGAUAAGUUUUUUUAAAAUGUUUAAAACAAAGGUAAGUUUAUAGACGUCUUUAAAAUUAGCUUUCUUUCAUCUUCAAAGAUGAAAGUUACUUAAAUUUUGUAGUCAUGCUACACAUAGUGUAAAAAAAUGACACGUGUUAAAGACACAACACUACAAUGUGAGAACAGAAGGCAGAGGUAGUUUUGCUAAUGAGAGAAAUGGUUCCACAAACUGGCUGAAACAAUACCUUUAUCUAAGAAGAGGUUUCGAGAGCAAAAAGAUGCAGAAUGCAGACGCACUAUCCAAAUACCUAUCCAAAAUGUUGGCCGAUUCCCUGGAUAUUUUAGUUCAGAAUCUGUAAGUCUGCUGCACAAAGACUGCAUGAAAACGGUGAAAUGAUUGUAAAAUAGAAAUCUUAAAGGAAAUGAAAAAGAAUCCAUUGUUUCGUUUGAAGAAGAUCAGGAUGGAUGGUGGGGACUUAAAAGAGCUGUUUUGGGGAUACGUAUAUAGGAGAGAGACUAAUAAGCCUUUCUCUUCCAUGAGUGCCAAUCAGGAGAUAUUUGCAUUCUGGCUAGCUGAAAGCAUGACGACCUAGCCAUCAAGACUCUGGCUUCUAACUCAUUUUCUGCUUCUAACUGGCUAUGAGAUCUUGGGCCAGUGGAAAUCUAGAGAGUUCAAGAUUUUCCAGGAUCUCCAUCUCAAAUUGAGACGUUCGGUCUUCGCCUUCUUCAACACUGAACAAAUCACCAGUUCGGUCUACAACCUGGCCACUUAGAAGUGAAGCGACCUCUUUUCCAGCGUGGCCCAUGCAUCUGGCAGCAAAAAUGAACCCCCAACAGAGGCAAAAUGAGAGCUCCAAGGCAAACAGUCUGGGGUGGAGCAGUAAGUCCUCUUUUCAGAAAGCUGGGAUCCCUUCCUCGAGCCUGGUGUGAUCACGAGUUAGAGCUCUGAGAAUUGCACUGCAGAAAACGCUUUUGGUUUGCCCACCAUGGAUGGAAUAAACUCAGUUCCUACAAGUAUAGCGAUUAAUGGGCACCUGCUGGUUUGAAAAGGAUGUUAAGUUGUACUUUUAAAAUGCGUGACAGGAGUUCCCGUCGUGGCCCAGUGGCAACGAAUCCGACUAGGAACCAUGAGGUUGCGGGUUCAAUCCCUGGCCUUGCUCAGUGGGUUGAGGAUCCGGCAUUGCUGUGAGCUGUGGUGUGUAGGUCGCAGACUCGGCUUGGAUCUGGCGUGGCUGUGGCUGUGGUGUAGGCCGGCAGCAACAGCUCCGACUGGACCCCUAGCCUGGGAACUUCCGUAUGCCGUGGGUGCGCCCCUCAAAAGACAAAAACAAAACAAAACAAAACAAAAACAAACAGAAAAAAAGGAGUGAUAAACCUCCCAUGUGUUGAAAGAAGGCCAUUAAACACUGCAACGCCUCCUCCUUCAAAAAAAAAAAAAAAAAAGCAACAUCUAAGCCUUUUGCCUAGGAGCCUGCAUAUCCUUCCUACAUUACAUUUGAGUAGCAAGAAGAAGCCGGUGUAUUUCACAGUUAACAAGGAUCAACGUAGCCAUGCAGGAGAUUCCG